AGCGAACGGACGAGAAGCUUGCUUCUCUGAUGUUAGCGGCGGACGGGUGAGUAACACGUGGAUAACCUACCUAUAAGACUGGGAUAACUUCGGGAAACCGGAGCUAAUACCGGAUAAUAUUUUGAACCGCAUGGUUCAAAAGUGAAAGACGGUCUUGCUGUCACUUAUAGAUGGAUCCGCGCUGCAUUAGCUAGUUGGUAAGGUAACGGCUUACCAAGGCAACGAUGCAUAGCCGACCUGAGAGGGUGAUCGGCCACACUGGAACUGAGACACGGUCCAGACUCCUACGGGAGGCAGCAGUAGGGAAUCUUCCGCAAUGGGCGAAAGCCUGACGGAGCAACGCCGCGUGAGUGAUGAAGGUCUUCGGAUCGUAAAACUCUGUUAUUAGGGAAGAACAUAUGUGUAAGUAACUGUGCACAUCUUGACGGUACCUAAUCAGAAAGCCACGGCUAACUAC
rnacentral:rRNA from 1 species